UGAACAGCCGACAAUAUCUGGGACUGUUAUUUAAAUUGAUUACAGGUUACAGAGAUACGGACUAUAAGCCAUCUGCUAAACACAGAUCAUGGUGAACGUUGCAUAAUGCAAAGAUAAUGGGACUAUAGGCACAGAAGAAUCCCGCCAAUAAAUACCAGAGGCACCGAGCUGUUCUGAAAUAUAAAACAUAAGUCUUUUUAAAGUCUGCAUCUCCAUAGAGUUACAUUGUAUCCUAUAUUCAACAUUCUAACAAACAUAUAUGGUUAACAAGUAAAACCCCUUACAUCAUGAUUUUCUAAAUCAGACUAAUAAAGAUAUGCUGAGGUGGGAGGAUUCCUAACCUUUCAAAUACUAUUGUCGUCUUAAGAUCUGUCAAAAUUGACACUUCAACACAAGUGCUGGUCUUUCAUGGUCCUUAAAAUAAGCCUAGCCUACUAAAAAGUGUUAGUAUGUUAUUUUACAGAUGCACAGCGCGGUGUAUGAUUAUCAAGCAUGAGUCAGACUUGUCUAUCCACAAUGCGUCCCUGACCUACAAGUCACUGACUGUGCACUCUUAACCUGCACUCAUUCCUUCUUGUUUCCCUCAGGUUUCUUAGGUUCAGUUCUCUUCUUUUUAAAGACAAUGGUCCUUUCCAUCAAUGACCCACCAAGGAUGGAGAAGGACAGAAACCACAUGGCUGCAAGUAUAUUAGACCUCACCCUGGAGAUCAUCUCCUUGAUAACUGGAGAGGAUUACACAGUAGUGAAGAAGUCGUCCGUUGAGUGUGUG